UACGGGGGGGGCAAGCGUUGUUCGGAAUUACUGGGCGUAAAGGGCGCGUAGGCGGUUUCGGAAGUCAUGGGUGAAAGCCCCGGGCUCAACUCGGGAAUGGCCUGUGAAACCACGGGACUGGAGUGCUGGAGAGGGAAGUGGAAUUCCCAGUGUAGCGGUGAAAUGCGUAGAUAUUGGGAGGAACACCGGAGGCGAAGGCGGCUUCCUGGACAGACACUGACGCUGAGGCGCGAAAGCCAGGGGAGCAAAC
rnacentral:rRNA from 1 species